rnacentral:tRNA from 1 species
GCAGUGGCAGUUCAGUGGUAGAAUUCUUGCCUUCCAUGUGGGAGACCUGGGUUUGAUUUCCAGCCAAUACA